GCGCUGGUGGUGUAGGGGUUUAAGCACGCAACCCAUGAACAAGAGGCUUUGGUCCUCAAUGCGGCAGUCCUGGGUUUGAGUCCCGGCCCUGGUGACA